rnacentral:rRNA from 1 species
GUGGGGAAUUUUGGACAAUGGGCGAAAGCCUGAUCCAGCAAUGCCGCGUGUGUGAAGAAGGCCUUCGGGUUGUAAAGCUCUUUUACCCGGGAUGAUAAUGACAGUACCGGGAGAAUAAGCUCCGGCUAACUUCGUGCCAGCAGCCGCGGUAAUACGAGGGGAGCUAGCGUUGUUCGGAAUUACUGGGCGUAAAGCGCGCGUAGGCGGUUUUUUAAGUCAGAGGUGAAAGCCCGGGGCUCAACCCCGGAAUUGCCUUUGAAACUGGAAAACUAGAAUCUUGGAGAGGUCAGUGGAAUUCCGAGUGUAGAGGUGAAAUUCGUAGAUAUUCGGAAGAACACCAGUGGCGAAGGCGACUGACUGGACAAGUAUUGACGCUGAGGUGCGAAAGCGUGGGGAGCAAACAGGAUUAGAAACCCGUGUAGUCC